CAGAUGAUGCCUCAGCUCCCGCGCUGGAGACUCAGCCUCAAGGUGAUGAAGAAGAUAUAGCUUCUCGUUAUCCUACUUUAUGGACUGAGCAAGUAAAGAGUAGACAGAACAAAACCAAUAAGAGCUCAGCAUCAUCAUGUGAUCAAGAACUUCAGUCAGCCCUGGAGGAAGCUAAGCAGCCCCAGAAAGACAAUGUGUUCAUUCCAGAGUGUGCUCAGGGUGGCCUCUACAAACCAGUGCAGUGCCAUCCUUCCACAGGGUACUGCUGGUGUGUUCUGGUGGAUACUGGACGUCCCAUCCCUGGUACAUCAACCAGGUAUGAACAACCUAAGUGUGAUAACAGUGCCAGAGCUCACCCAACCAAAACAAAGGAUUUGUACAAAGGACGCCAGCUUCAAGGU